AUUGAACGCUGGCGGCUGGCCUAACACAUGCAAGUCGAGCGAGCGGCGGACGGGUGAGUAAUGUAUGGGGACGGCCCGAUAGAGGGGGAUAACUACUGGAAAUGGUGGCUAAUACCGCAUACUAUCGUAUAACCCAUAUGGGAUUAGCUAGUAGGUGGGGUAAAGGCUCACCUAGGCGACGAUCCCUAGCUGGUCUGAGAGGAUGAUCAGCCGCCCUGGGAAUAAGCCACGGCCCAGACACCUACGGAGGCCUCAGUGUGGAAUCUUGCAAAAUGGGCGCAAGCCGGAUGCAGCCAUACCGCGUGUAUGAAGAAGGCCUUAGGGUUGUAAAGUACUUUCAGCGGGGAGGCGUUACCCGAAGAAGAAGCACAAGCUAACUCCGUGCCAGCAGCCGCGGUAAUAC
rnacentral:rRNA from 1 species